CCUGGGGCUACACACACGCUACAAUGGCCGGAAACAAUGGGCUGCCACAGCGCGAGCUGGAGCGAAUCCUCAAAGCCGGUCUCAGUUGGAAUUGCAGGCUGCAACUCGCCUGCAUGAACGUGGAGUUGCUAGUAACCGUAGGUCAGCACACUACGGUGAAUACGUUCUCGGGUCUUGUACACACCGCCCGUCAAGUCAUGGAAGUCGGUAACACUUGAAGUCGCUGGGCCAACCCUUUGGGAGGCAGGUGCCGAGAGUGGGACUGGUGACCGGGACUAAGUCGUAACAAGGUAGCUGUAGCGGAAGCUGCGGCUGGAUCACCUCCUUU
rnacentral:rRNA from 1 species